rnacentral:rRNA from 1 species
UACAGAGGGUGCGAGCGUUGUCCGGAAUCACUGGGCGUAAAGGGCGCGUAGGUGGUGGCUUAAGCGUGCGGUGAAAGCUCGGGGCUCAACUCCGAGUCGGCCGUGCGAACUGGGCUCACUGGAGCAUAGUAGAGGCAGGUGGAAUUCCGGGUGUAGCGGUGGAAUGCGUAGAGAUCCGGAAGAACACCGGUGGCGAAGGCGGCCUGCUGGGCUAUGGCUGGCACUGAGGCGCGGACAGCGUGGGGAGCAAACAGGG